AUUACCUGGGGAUCUUGUUAAAAUACAGAUUCUGAUUCAGUAAACCUGGGCUGGGGUUGGGGGAGCACGAGAUUUUGCAUUUCUAAGAAGCCCUCAGGUGAUGCUGA
rnacentral:pre_miRNA from 1 species